rnacentral:tRNA from 1 species
GCCUGGGUGGCUCAGUCGGUUGAGCGUCUGAUUUCAACUCUAGGACAUGAUCUCACAGUUCGUGGGUUCGAGCCCCAUGUCAGGCU